CACGGACUCGCAAGCAAAACCCUCAGUUCUACUUUCGCUCCCAAGGGGAAUACACUGCAUUAAAAAUUAUUAACCAGUUCACCCAACAUCAAAAAAGUUUUCAAAACACCUUCGAGAACGGGCUGUAUAUUACACUCAGCAACUGAAACGAAAAUAUACUCAGCAAAAGAAGUCCGAAUCCAUAAUAGUGUGAUGCCAAGGCGCAUAAGUUGUGUGCAUAUGAUGAAAAAUACAAUUGACAUUCAUAAACAAGUUUAUGAUUUAUGAAACACAUUCAGAGUGCCCUGUAUACAAUGAGAAGCAAUUUAAAAGUGGUUCAAAACUGCGGCACGCCCACACUUUUGAACAAUUUUUAAAUUUUCCAAUUUUUUUCAAUAAUAUCUAUCAAUAUCCCAGAUUGAUGCUUCUCUCUUUUUUCAUAUCGAUACAGGGUGCUGUAUCUGUUUCAUAAGUCAUAAAUUUUUUUUAUGAGUGCAAAAAUUAGUUUUAAUACUGUGUACACCUUACAACGCCGUGGCAUCACAAUAUUAUGGAUACGUACAUAUCCUUUGCCGACCCGUCCUUGGAAGGUGUUUAAAAACUAUUUUGAUAUUGGGUACACUGUUAUAUAUUUUUUUUUCUUUGGUGUGUGAAAGUUGAGGGUUUUGUAGUGGCGACUGCAGAGCCGAGAAAUAAAUUUGUGCAACUGAUCUUUGCCGAGCUUAAAUGCAUUUUAUGCAUUGUGGCCCGAAAUUUGGGACACAUAUACUAGAUAGCUCAUAGCUGCGCCAAGGGAAGAUCUGGAGGCUCUUGCCGCGAACUAUGAGAUGUUCGCUGCUGCUAAGCCUGAACCCAAUUCGUUCUAUCCGUUUCUUUUCUAAUUAACAUCCGGUGGAGUUAACAAGUAUUCUAAAAUUUUAUACAAGCGGAGCCUAAGCAAAUUCAGGUCACGGAAAGAAGUACCAGCGAAGGUAGCAAGGUGACCGUCUGGUGUCGGCCAGUACUCAAGUCAAAGAGUUUAGAUCUGGGAGACCCCCCAAGUGUUCAGCAAAUACACUCAUUCAGCGGAUUGAACCCGAGGAGCACAUGACGGGCUAGGAAGGAUCAUAUGAAUGUAGUGCAGUUAAAUCGACCACCAAA